CCUACGGGUGGCAGCAGUGGGGAAUAUUGCGCAAUGGGCGAAAGCCUGACGCAGCGACGCCGCGUGAGGGAUGAAGGUCUUCGGAUCGUAAACCUCUGUCAGCGGGGAAGAACGGUCACUGUGCUAAUCAGCAGUGAAUUGACGGUACCUGCAAAGGCAGCACCGGCUAACUCCGUGCCAGCAGCCGCGGUAAUACGGAGGGUGCGCGCGUUAAUCGGAAUUACUGGGCGUAAAGCGCUCGUAGGCGGUAUGUCAAGUCAAGGGUGAAAUCCCCGCGCUCAACGUGGGAACUGCCUUUGAAACUGGCAAACUGGAGUGUGGUAGAGGAUAGUGGAAUUCCAGGUGUAGGAGUGAAAUCCGUAGAGAUCUGGAGGAACAUCAGUGGCGAAGGCGACUAUCUGGAACAUAACUGACGCUGAGGAGCGAAAGCGUGGGUAGCAAACAGGAUUAGAUACCCUAGUAGUC
rnacentral:rRNA from 1 species